AUAGCGUAUAUUAAUGUUGCUGCGGUUAAAAAGCUCGUAGUUGGAUCUCGGUUUCGGGCGAGUGGUGCACCUUGCGGUGUUUACUGUUUGCCCGGACGAUCUUGUUGGUUCGUUUAUGGUUCUCUUAACCGAGUGCCAUAAGUGGCCAGCACGUUUACUUUGAAAAAAUUGGAGUGCUCAAAGCAGGCGCUACAGCCUGAACAUUAGUGCAUGGAAUAAUGAAAUAGGAUCUCGGUUCUAUUUCGUUGGCUUUCGGAGUCGAGGUAAUGAUUAAUAGGGACAGACGGGGGCAUUCGUACUGCGACGUUAGAGGUGAAAUUCUUGGAUCGUCGCAAGACGAACUACUG
rnacentral:rRNA from 1 species